GUCCCUGUAGCGCAGUGGAUAGCGCGUUGGAAUUUGAAACCAAUGGUCGUGGGAUCGUAUUCCACCAGGGAUG